CUAUUUAUUAUGAUAUUAGUUUCAGGUUUUUUGUAGAUGUUAUUUAUCAAGUUGAGAAAGUUUCUCUCUAUUCUUAGUAUGCUGAGAGUUUUUAUCAUAAACGGGUGUUGGG